rnacentral:sRNA from 1 species
UGAUGCAAGGGAGAAAAGAUCAUGGAUUUCAUGCUUGCAUGGAAAUCCAUGAGUUUGGAUCCCGCAAAAAUAUGAGAAAGUAGCCCGACAGGGCGGAUUUCGAAUAUUUUCAGAUUGUGAGAGCAUGAAAUGCAAAGCAAUCUGGAGCAUCA